GACGAAGGGGGCUAGCGUUGUUCGGAAUUACUGGGCGUAAAGCGCACGUAGGCGGACAUUUAAGUCAGGGGUGAAAUCCCAGAGCUCAACUCUGGAACUGCCUUUGAUACUGGGUGUCUUGAGUAUGGAAGAGGUGAGUGGAAUUCCGAGUGUAGAGGUGAAAUUCGUAGAUAUUCGGAGGAACACCAGUGGCGAAGGCGGCUCACUGGUCCAUUACUGACGCUGAGGUGCGAAAGCGUGGGGGAGCAAACAGG
rnacentral:rRNA from 1 species